AAUCUUAAUAUAAUUUUACUUAUUAUCUUUAAACUUGCAAUUUACUAUUUUAAUUAAACUAUUAAGAC
rnacentral:tRNA from 1 species